rnacentral:rRNA from 1 species
UUUGAUCUGAAUCAGG